UUUUUUUUUUUUUUUUCUUUUUUAGGGCCACACCUGUGGCAUAUGGAGGUUCCCAGGCUAGGGGUCGAAUCGGAGCUGUAGCCACUGGCCUACACCAUAGCCACAGCAACGCCAGAUCCGAGCCAUGGCUGCUACCUACGCCACAGCUAAGGCAGCGCCAGCUCCUUAAUCCACUGAGCAAGGCCAGGGGUCGAACCUGCAUCCUCAUGGAUACUAGUCAGAUUCGUUUCCGCUGAACCACAAGAGGAACUGAACAAUCAGCAUUUUAAAACAAAACUGAGUGUCUAUUAUGUCAAAAUGCUGAAAUUCACUUUCAAUUCUAAAACAUUUGUUAUGUGAUCCUAGCAAUUGGACUUUAUUUGCAUAAACCUGGGCCUCUUUAUUCCCCUGAACAAGAAAUAAAGACUAAACCCAUGUUAUGGUCCCAUUGCACUGAAUGAAAUGAAAUAAUGCAAAACACACUCAUAUACUCAGUAAACAGUAAAUAUUAAAUAGUAUUUCUAGUGGCUCUUUCUUAGAUGAAACAAAACACUGGGAAGCUUUUAUGUUUGUACUGACGCAAUGAGAAUUCAAACAGCCAUUUGGAGUACUGCGAAGAGAAGCUCAAAGACAAACUUUGACCCUCCAUCUCCAACACUGGUGCUGUAAGUGCUUUCCAGUCCACAUGACAGGAUUAUUGGUUGAGCUCAAGCAGUUAAAUCCUAUGUAAUAAGUAUCUUUAUUUCCAAACCUGGUCUUCAUUUAGCCUUCAAAUUGACCUCCUGAAUGAGAAGUGAAUGUACAAACUAAUGAAUACUGCGGCUAUGCUUGAUGAUUUUACUUCUCAAAUUACUAAACUGGGAUUUUAGUUCAAGCCAUUUUCUGGUGUGCAUAUGAGGCAUAAAGUCCAAUCAACAUAAGUCUGAAACCUACAGCACUACAAGAGCAAACCCCAAUAUAAACAGAAGUACAACCCUAAAGCCAAUUACUCCCAGCUAUCAACUUACCCCAAAGUGGCUUUUCAAAUGAAUUCAUAUCCCAAAUCCACAUGUCCCACAUCUCCUGUUGAAAAAUAAAUUGCCUAAAAUCAGUUUAUUACAAAAAAACUCUGUCCUUCCCCCCUUACCUCAGACACCCUAUUCCACUGGACGGUAGGCCAGCCACCAAAUCACCUAUCCCUAAUUCAUUCAAACUUUAAUAAAUAUAGAGUACGUACAAGACACAACGUUAAGUAGUUUUAUGUAUGCAAUUAGGGAAAAAGCUCAUUUUCUGCCCUAAGUGAGCUUGCAGUUUAGGAAGACAGAUAAUAAGUUUGCGCAGCACUUUACAAUUUACAAAAUGCUCUUUUCUACCUUUGCAACAGGUGCCAAAUUACAAGGCGCUACAGUGCACAAAGGAGAGGAGCUGGUGGGGGGAGAAUGACUGGGGAAUUGGUCUGAGUUAGGAAAAGGCAAAGGGGUGUUUCAGGUGAACAAAACAAUGUGAGCUAAAAUAGAGGCAGAAAAAAUCAGGGGAUGUCUAGGGGACAGCACACAGGAAAACUGGGAGAUACAGUUGAAAGAGUGUGUUCAGAACAAAAGAAAUAAUGACUAUCUCACUAAGGAGUCUGAAGAGCAAUGAUCAGGGGAAGCUGUCCCAUGUUUUUACUUUUGUCUUUUGAAUACAAAUAGCGAAACAUCACAACAGAACACACCGUGAUUUCUGCUCUCACCUCCCAACCAUGAACUCGGAUACAAAGAAAUACACUGCCCUCACCAGUAAUGGAAAACCCCAGAGAUCCUGCGACACAGUUUCCUGCAAAUAAAGGAUCCAGCAGGAAUCUCCUCCAGGCCAGGGGCCGAUUCUAUUUUCCAGCCAUGGAGUCCUCCCAGUCUCCAAGGUUUUGUUCUGUAUUUUUGCCCAAACACCAGCCUCGACCCUGAGUUCCAUAAUGCCACCCUCUUCCCCUCAAAUCAUCACUCUCUCUUCUCUCCUUUACCACCUUCUUGCAAGUAGUCUUCAUUCGCGGCCCUUAAUUUCUUAACCUCUCAACCUAGUGUAGUCUGUCUUCACCUUGAUGAAACCAUUUUUUGGUCAAAUCACUCCAAUGUCCUAACUAUCAAGACAAGCCUCUUUCUCAUAUUCUACUUGAUGUCUCCGCCUCUUAAAUUAUGUGUGGAAAAGGAGGCUAUAAAUAAAACAUAAUCUCUUCUUUUCUUGGCUCCAGGGUCAUUCCUUGUUCUCCCACUUUAUUGUCCACACUUUGCAGUUUUCUUCUCUGGCUCAUCCCACUCUGCCUUGGACCUGUCUGCAGGCUGCCUGACACUCUACAUGGCCUUCUUUGGAAAUCCACUAGUUGUAAAGCUUUACUGAACAUGUGCCCGUGACUCCUAUACCUCUAAUUUCUUCCUGGGAUGCUCUGGUUAGAAUACAAGCUCCUCCAGAGUGGGAAUCAUGUUUUUCAUACAUGAGCCCUAAAAGUCUGAUGAUAGCAGAAACUCAUAUACAAAAUAGCAUCUUCACCAAGUCAUUUUUUAUUUUUUCCUAAGGCCUUAUUUUUCAUUCUAGCACCAAACACUAAAAUUUACAACAUAAUAUAUACUAAUUAGUUUAUUAAUUAUCCUAUAAACUUCAUGAGGGCAGAGAGACUUUAUUUUGUUUAGUGCUAUUAUUAUAGCACCUGGAAUAGUACUUGGCACAUGGCAUAAGAGUUUGAUAAUUAUUUGGUUAAAUGAAUGAAAAUACCAGAAAAAAAUAUCAUGUAGGAAGGAAUAAAGGUAACUGAAAUUAAAGCAUUUUAAGUUGCUGUGUUUUGGUACAGGGCAGGGAUUUUUGACUAAUUUUAGACUUUUUAAGAUCAAAUAUUUUUUUUAAUUAAAAGGAAACAAUUAAGUAAAAACAUUAUGUAUAAUUAAAAACCAAACUGGAAAAAGGAGAAAUAAGAAAAUCAAUCAAUUCAAAAUAAAAUAAGAAAGAAAUUUAAAAUCAUAAAAAAUCACAAAUAUAGAAAGCACAAAACAAAAUGGUAGAAAUAAAUCCCCAUACAUAAAUAAAUAAAAGUAAGACUAAAAGACUAAAUGUAGUCAUUAAAAGUUAUCAGAUUGGGGGGGGUUGUUUUUCAGCCACACUCACAGUAUGUGGGAGUUCCUGGGCCAGGGAUCAAACCUAUGAUACAGCAGCAACCUGAGCCACAGCAGUGACAAUGUCAGGUCCUUAACCUGGUGUGCCGCAAUAGAACUCCAAUUGGAGUUUUUAAAAUAAAAGCUAUACGCUAUUUGUGAGACAUACAACAAAAACAUAAGGAUUCAAAACAGUAAAAGCAAUCUCACCAAAGACAUACAAAUAAACAUAUAAAAAGAUGCUCCACAUCAUUUGUCAUCUGGAAAGAAGUCACAAUCAUAUUGGCUUGUGGAUAAAGCUUGGAGCUAGCAGAGCAACAACAAGAAAGUGAGCUAGAAAUCCUAGAAAGGAAGGACAUAUCCACCACAAUCCUUAGUCAAGCCCCUGACCACACAACAUGGAAGAGAUCCCAGAGACCCAAAAGAAAAGCAACAGCCAGAUGGCUGGAAAAAUGAAGCAAAGAUAUCAGCUGUUGUCCAAGGCAAGGGAAACAGAGGCUGGAGUUUAAGUCUAAUCAGCUGACUGCCUAACAGAACAACAAAAAAAUCAGUAAUCUGUAGGACAAAACAGAAUUGUGGGUCACUAAAAACAUAUCUGCAAUACCCAGCAUAUAAUAAAAAAUUACUAAACACGAAAAAAAUGUGACCCACAGACAAGAAAAAAAGUAGUCAAUAUACACUGAACACAAGAUUACUUGGAAUUUGUUGACAAGGACUAUAAAGCAGCUACUACAAAUGUGUCUAAGAACUUAAUAAUAAUAAUAAAGAGAGGGAAUUCUCAUCAGAGAAAUGAAAACUAUAAAAAAGGAAUCAUAUAGUAUACCAUGUGGAACACAAAGAUACAGUAUGACGUAAAAAAUUCACCUGGCAGUUUUUAACAGCAGAUUAGAGAUAACAGAAUAUAGCAUCAGUCACUUUAAAGGCAGAUCAAAAGCAAUUAUCCAAUUCUGAAGAUCUGAGUGAAAGAAAAAUAUUUUAAAGAAUGGAGAGCCUCAGUAAGCUCACUGAAGAGAGGUACAAUACUAUGAAGUUUAAUGUAAGUGAAAUCAGAGUCCCAAAAGGCGGGCACAGAGAAAAUUAUACAGAAAAGUAUACAUAAAAAUAACAUAUCGACUGUUCGGGGGAAACAUGAAAUUGCAAGUCUAAGUUUAGUGAACCCUAAGCAGGAUAAAUACAAGGAAAAUCACAAUUCGAGCACAUUAUAUUCAAAUUGCUACAAACUAAAUAUUUAGAGAAAAUUUUGAAAGCAGCCAGAGGCAAAGACAUUACAUACAGAGAAAAAAACAGAUGACUUCUCAUUACAUGAAACAAAGACAUUCUCAAAUAAAGAAAAAGCCAAAACAACACAUCUCUCUUACACCUGCACCAUAAGAAAUGCUAACAGGAGUUCCUUAGGCCAAAGAAAAAUGAUACCAGAUGGAAACUCAGAUCUGUAAGGAGAAAUGAAGUAUAUUAGCAAUGGUAAAUAUCUGAGUAAAAAAAUUUACUACUUUUCCCUCUUCAUUUUUUUUUUUCUUUUUUGGCCACCCCAGGGCAUAUGGAAUUCCUGUGCCAGGAGUCAGAUAUGAAAGAGAGUUGUGAUCUAUGCUACACUGCAACAACAUGAGAUCUUUAAAACACUGUUGGGUUAACGAUCUGGCAUUGCCGUGAGCUGUGGUGUAGGUUGCAGAUGCAGCUCGGAUCCCGCGUUGCUGUGGCUCUGGCGUAGGCCGGGGGCUGUGGCUCCGAUUCAAUCCCUAGCCUGGGAACCUCCAUAUGCCGCGGGAGCUGCCCAAAGAAAUAGCAAAAAGACAAAAAAAAAAAAAAAAAAAAAAAGAAAAGAAAGAAAUACAAGUCAUAUUUACCUAAGGAGUUAAAUAAAUUAUAAAACUUAACUCUUAAAAAAAAAACAAAAUUUAUAACUGUAUUGUACAAGUUAUUAAUACGAAGACGUAACGUAUGACAAAAUUAGAACAAAGGAUAGAGGUGAGAGUAAGCGUUAACUAUCUAGUCAUGAGGGACUUUUAUUUUGUGAAAUAAUACAACCCAACAUCUAUUCAUGACAUUUAAGCCAAAAACAAAAGAAAUUCUAGAAAAUUAGAAAUAAGAAUGAACUCUGCCUACCUGAUAAAGGAUAUCUGCCCUAAAUGUAGAGUAAACAAAAUGUUUAAUCUUUAAGAGUUGGAAGCAUUCCCUUUGAAGUUAGGAAAAGAGCAAAAAUGCCAUCUGUCUUUUUUUCUUCCCAACAAUGUACUGGAGUUCCUAUCUAGAACAGUAAAGUAAGAAAAAGAAACAAGAGAUUUAAGAAUUGGAAAGAAGAAAACAGAACAAAACCAAAAGAAACGGUAGAAAAUGAAGACAACCAGAACUAAUGAACUUCCAGCAAUGUUGCUGGAUUCAAGACCAUCAUACAAAACUCACUGAAUUCUUUUGCCAAAAAAAACUAGAAAAUUGCUCAGAAAGACCUUUUCAAAAAUGAAGAUAGCAUGCUGGCAUAUAAAAGAUUUAUCAUAGUAAAUAAUUCUCUCAAUAUUAAUCUAUAUACUUAAUACAGCUUUGAUUAAAAUCUCAGUAUAAUUUUUUAUAGAACUUUAAAAGCAGAUGCUAAAAUCAUACAGAACAAAGCCAUGAAAGCCAGUAAGAUUUUGAACAACAAGGUAAGGGGACUCCGUGGUCUAGCCAUCAAGCUAUAGUACUUAAAUCAGUGUGAAUCAUGGGCAGAGACAUUAAAGACCAACAAAACAGAAGAGAGCCCACGAUCAGACCCCUUGGUCACAUGUAAACAUGACAGAGGUGGCACUACAAAUCAGAACAAAAGGCAUGGGCUAUUUAAUGAAUGUUCAUCCAUAUGAAAAAAUAAAAUUCCUACCUCUCACCAUCCAAAUAUCCAGUUCCAGGUGGAUUAAAGAUUUAAGGAUACAAGUAUCUAAAACUUUAAAAGAAAAUAUAGGUAAAUAUCUUUAUGUCCUUGGUUACAGAAGAAUUUCUUAAACAAUACUCAAAAAGCACAGACCAUUAAAGAAAAAAUUAAUAAUUACUACAUGAAAAUUAAAAAUUUUAAAACAAAGAUAUCAUAGACAUUGAAAUGAUAAGCCAAAAGAUUAGGGGGGAAAUAUCCAUUACAGAAAUAAUCAGCAAAAGAUUAGUUUCAGUAUGUAUUAAAAACUUCUCCAAAUCGAAACAAUGCAAACAGUGAAAAAGAGGCUGAAAAGCAAGAACGAGCAAAUUACAACCAAGAAAACAUAAACAGCCAGUGAACAUAUGAAGAUAUACUCAAUCU
rnacentral:lncRNA from 1 species